UCCAUUUGAAGGAAUUAAUUUCUCGUUCAUUGUUUUUUUUUUGUAUCUGAGGAGCUUUUUCUCUGCUGUUUUGGUUCAAACCCAUUGAUGACAUGGUAGAUAUCUUAACUGAAGUGAUUCUGACAAAAGUCAGUACCACUUGCCACAUGUGGUCCGUAAUAUUGGAGGGCCAACUAGGAAUAUAUUUUGAAAUCACUCUAUUUCUAAGAAAUGAUAGCAUAAUUGGGGCCAUGUUACUCUUAAAGCUUAAUUGUUGCCAAAUGGAAGGAAGACUAUAUAUAAUGCAUACAAUUCAUCUUUAAAAAUUACAAAAGAAAUGUAAUGCUUAUAUUAGUUAAUGGGGCUGGAAAAUUUAGGCAAGGAUGUUUUAUGGUAGUCAUAGGUGUCACGAUCUUAGUUCCUUCUGAAUCAGAAAAUCAACUAUGAUUAUCUAUUUCAUAACAAUGAGAAAGUCCUUGAGCUUUAACUAGACUAGAUAUUGAAAAACCACGAUUUAUGGAUUUAUUCUUAGCUAGUAUGAUUCAUUGGAUUUGAGAGCUUAAUGGUCGUUCAGAUAACACAUGUAAAGAUAGAUGUAUUCACGAUCAUAUUCAAUUAGCAUGUGAUUUUAGCCAGCAAACUGGGGACUUAGUAAUUAGUAUGUAUGAAUAGGCAACAUCUUGUAAUUCUGUCUUGAAGUUUGGCUUGUGAUUUCAAUGUUAAGCUAGUUAGAAAUGUGAUUUUAUAGUGCAAUAGUUUAUGAAAAUCUUCUCCGGGCAUGUAAUUAAGAGCAGAAUCAGAAAAUCACAAAAUAGGAUAUGUUAGCAAUGUCAAAUUCUCAAUAUCAAAUAUCUUUAACAUAGGCAUCCUUGGGCGGGGCUGUACUAGCCUUAGGGAAUUAGUCUGGCCAAAUAAAGUCUGGGACACCCCCAAUUGAAAUAUAUAUAUAUAUAUAUAUAUCUUUAAAAUAGGCGAAUCCGAGAUGUUUUGUUGUUGUUAGCAAUGAAUACCAGAGAUGUAUGGUAACUAUGAUGUAAACAUGAGAGGAAUCAUGAAGGGAACCUUUUUUGAAGAAUGUUUACAUGAGAUACAGGGUGCAUUAUACAAUUAAGUUCUUUGAUAUAGCAAAAAUUAUUUUCCUUCUUGAACUUAAAUGUAAUUACGUUCCUUGAAAUCAUCUAGAUGUUAUGAAGUCAUUCCAGAUAGGAACUAAUGUGACUUAAGUACUACUUUCUGCAUAUGAUUGCAAAUGAACUACUUACCUUUCUUUCCAUUUUUAGGAUUAGAACACAACAAAAGAGAAAAAAAAAGGUUGAUCCGGGAUUUCAGAUUAAAAACCUUCCAAAAAAAAAGAAUCCCUUGUUUAGGAAGUGGACCUAUGUGGAAUAUAAUUCUGCACACUGUGUUUUUUUAAAAAAAAAAAAUUUUCCUUCAUAAAGUGCCCUAGAUGUUCCUGCUUCAUAUAUGGAAGUUAACUCUUUUUCCUUUUUUUUUUCUUUUUUACGCUUUGCAAACAACUCCUAUAUCAGGCUUAGCUCCUAAAAUCCAGUAAGCAUUUUUUUUAGCAGUAACUUCUUUUUUUUUUUUUCCUUUUUUUUGGUAUAAAAGCUGUCAAAAAAGCAUAUUAUGGCAUAGAGCCAAUACUUAUAAAUCAUAUUUCUUCUAAAAAUCAUCUUACAAAAAUCACAAAAAGCUUCAGUGAUGCCCUUAGUUGGACCAAGGAUAUGUGUUAUCAUCUGAUGACAAUAGAAGCUUUAAAGUAGGAGGCAAAGAUUAGAUGUGCAUGUGAUCAAGUGUAACUUGGCAAUCACAUAAAAUUAAUAAGCUUUUAUUGUUAGGGCUCCAGUGAAUCAUUUGAUCUUGAAAGAUAUCUUGGAGUUCUAUAGUGUAUCCCUGUUGAUUUUUCAGAUUUGUUGUAGAUUACAAAUCUAUUUAUACUUGUUGCAUGUUUAAUUGUUCUUUGAUAUUAAUAUAGAUUUAUUGUAAUGAAAUUUUGUCGUUUAUCAAAAAACCUUUUUUAGUAUUUGUUAUGCCUUCGUCUUUGAUAAUUCUAUUUUUGAGAUUGUUUACUAGCAUCUAGAGUUUAAGAUACUAUUAUCAACUCUUAUGGUAUGAGGAAUUGCAAUUCUCGUUUGGAACCUGAAAAAAUGUAUGUACAGACCUUGCUGGCUUGCUCUACAUUUAAGCCAUUAUUCAGUUUGCGAGGAGAGGGUUGAGUUGGGUGAUUUAGGGUGAGAAGGUGUGAGUGAAAGAUCCCAAGUUUGAUACCUCCUACUUAUGUUUAAAGGAAAAAGAUAUUAUUCAUUUGAAAUCAAAUUAAGUUACGUGCCUAAAUUACUAUACUCUUUCUCUUGUCUGCCUUAUAUUUUUGCACGAAGCUUAAUUAGGUCUCAUUCUCUAAUAUUGGUUAUUGGUACAAUGGCAGAGUUAGGACCAUUAUUGAGAGGGUGAAAUAAUUUUAGGUUGAAGUGAUUUGUAAGCUUUUGGUACAACUUAGUGUUUAUUAAAAAUUUAAUCGGCAUGAACCAAUUUAUUCAGUAUUACAACAACAAAAUUAAAAAGCAUUGUCUAUAUAGCUUAUUAUUUACUAUGUGCAGGAGUUUUCUAGUCAUCUAAUGGUAUAAAAUCAUAGUUAAUAUUACGAACAAAAUUAUAAGGUGUACAUUCUAAAAUAGAUAGGAUAGGCAGAUAAUCUUCACAAUUAAAAUAUUAAAUAAAUAUCAAAUUUGCAUGUAAUUCAACUUGUAUGGUUGGGCAUAUAAGUGAAGCUCAAUUUUAAGUAAAAAAGAUUUAUUAGAAAGGAACAAAAAUAUCAUGGUAUUUUAUUUGAAGCUUUGAUUUUAAGAAUAAUUAGAGCAACUAUAGAAAAUUUCAACACUUUUGAGGGGCAAUUAUAGGGCUAGAUGGAAUAUUUUAAAAAUUCAAGAGGGGCAAAAGUGAAGCAACACUAAAAAGCUAAAAUUUUUUAUAGGCCAUUUUAUAAUUUUCAAAAAUUUGAGGGGGUGCAAUUGCAACCUCUUAAGAGAGUGUAGCUCCGCCCCCGAUUGGUACCCAUCACAUUGGGACAUUGCAUUUCCAAGUUGUUUUGGUGGCUUUAUCUUUAACUUAGGGAUUGCUAGUACUUGCCUGAAUUGGAACAAGGGUCUAGGGCCAAUAAGGGGGGUGGAUAAAUUAUAAUCUCCAGGGCGAAAAUAGAAAUGGUAAAAUGUCUCAAUGAAGCAGUAGUAGUAGUAGUAAAAUUUAGAACUAGAAUGAUGCUUUCUCUUUCUGAGUUGAAAUAGGCGGAUUUUGCCCGGAAGGUAAAGAUUCUAAUCAUUGGAGGAAGGUGGGGUCGAUGCUUGCUAGAUUUGGAAAUGCUGGACCAGCCAUGUGAGCCCUCGGUGGAAAGGGAGGAUGUCAUUUUGCUAUUUGGACGAAAACAUGAACCAAAUUAUUCGAUACUCGUUCGAAUUAAACUCACUGUAAUAAGAGUUCGUUCGAACUUGAUUCGCUGAUUAGUCAAGUCACACUCAUUGUAAUAAGAACUCGUUCGAAAUUGAUUCGCUGAUUAGUCAAGUCAAAUUUGAACAACGCUUUAUAUUCCUUAACAUUCAAGUUCAAUAAAAUAUUAGUUCAAACUUGAUUUGACAAAUAAACAAUCUAAAAUUUGAACCAAAUUUCAUUUGAGAAAAAAAAAACAGACAUUAUUCAUUCGAAAAGAAAGUAAAUCAGAACAAGAUACGUGCCGAAAGUACUGUACUCUUUCCCCCAUCUACCUUACACAUUUUUGCACUAAGCUUAAUUAGGUCUCAUUCUCUAAUGGUAGUUAUUAGUACUAAUUAGUCACAUUGGGACAUUGCACUUCCAAGUCGUUUUGGUGACUUCAUCUCUAACGAAGGGAUUGCUAGUACUUGCAUGAAUUGGAACUAGGGUCUAGGGAUAAUGAGUGGGUGGAUAACUUGCAGUAUUCUCUAGGUGGUGAAAAUAGAAAUGGUAAAAUAACUCAAAUGAAGUAGCAGAAGAAGUUGUAAAAUUUAGAAAAUAGAAUGAUCCUUUCUGAGUUGUAAGAGGGCGAAUUUUGCCAAGAAGGUAAAGAUUCUAAUGAUUGGAGGAAGGUGGGGUCAAUGCUUGCUAGAUUUGGAAAUGGCGGAGACGGACCAGCAAUGUGAGCCCUCUGGGAAACGACAGGUAGUUCAAUCACUCAUCAACCAAAGUCAACCUGAAGGCAAGCAUUUAUAAACACACAGUGCCUUGUGGAUGAUCCUAGAAAGAAAACUCGUUCCAACGGUGCAGCCAAGUUGUUGAAGAAGCUGCUAAAUUUUGCACGGCAAACAUUUUCCAUAUCCAGGAAAAAUCAGUGCAUUGGCAGCGGUACCAACAUUCUAUCUCAAGGACAAAAGGUGUAGGUAGGAGAUAAGCACCAAAGGAGAGGAUCAUAUUCUGACAAAGAGCAAGUAAUAAUUAUGGGUGUUGACACUUUGACAGCUGAUGCCAUCAAUGAUCAACAAGGACAUAAACAGGAGAAAUGAGAAAACACAACAUGUUCCAGUUCCACAAUGGAGUUGGAAGACAGAUCUGGUAGUUACUCUGGUAACGACAAAUAUAGAAAACAAGAUCAUCAUCAAGACAGAGUGUAAAGGUACAGUAACAGUUCUAUCAACUUACUCAAAGAUUGUAAGGGGGUUGGUUUGAUGGAUCAAUGUAGUGCACUGCAUGCAUUAUGGCACUGUCAGCUAUCAACAUCGGCAGCACCACCAGCAUCAGUUUAGCAAUUUGUUAGCGACAUUGGUACAUGGCACCAUAAAUGGUUUUCUGAAUUUGCUUUAAAAUAUCGAACCAUGGUGUACUCUAUUUUACCACAAAGAUGGAAUGCUAGACAGAUCAUCUGGUACGGCAAAUGUAGGCCAAAGAUGAAUAGCAGCAACAAAUGCAAAAGUGGUCCAUUUCUUUUUGGUCUCUGCGUAUUUAGAUGGGGCAGAUCAUUUGUCAAAAUCAAGUGGGGCAUUAAUUAUUGGCUUCUCUUGCACCAAAAAUCAAGAAAUUUAUUGUUUC